rnacentral:lncRNA from 12 species
CCCCCCCCCCCCCCCCCCCCCCCCCCCCCCCCCCCCCCCCCCCCCCCCCCCCCCCCCCCCCUUUUUUUUUUUUUUUUUUUUUUUUUUUUUUUGCUUUUUCUGGCAGUCUCCAGUUACUUUUAGCCCGACCGUUCUCGUCCCACCCUGUUCCGUGCCGCUCUGGCGCCGGGCUGGCUUCGGGCACGUCCUCCCCCUCAGCCUGCGGCUGCUGUGGCGAGCCGAGGGGCCAGCGAGGGUGGCUGCGGGCCACGGGAGGUGACACAGGAAGGAGACACCGCGUACGGCACAAACACCGGCUGGGGAGAAGGGAACAGGAGCUGUUUCCUGGUGUGGGCCACCACUGGGUCCUGCUGGGCCACCUCCAGGUCUUGCUGGGCCAGAGAAGGGAACAGGAGCUGUUUCCUGGUGUGGGCCACCAUGGGGUCCUGCUGGGCCACCACUGGGUUCUGCUGGGCCACCACCAGGUCUGGCUGGGCCACUAGCAGAUCUGGCUGGGACACCACUGGGUCCAGCUGGGCCAUCACCGGGUCCAGCUGGGCCACUGACCCGGGUAAAUGGAGCCUGCAGCCUGUGGCACUCUGAGCCCACCUGGGCGAGUCCCCGCUGUCAGGGUGAGCCCAAGCUGGCCCUGGCUAAGCCCCCCCGUCAUUGUCACCCCCUGGGCCACUGCCAGGUCCCGCUGGGCCACCGCCGGGUCUGACAGGGUCACUACCGGGCCCUGCUGGGCCACCCCCCCCCCCCCCCCCCCCCCCCCCCCCCCCCCCCCCCCCCCCCCCCCCCCCCCCCCCCGGUGCCCCCCCCGUGCCCGGUGGCCACCAGGGUCACCUUGUGGCGUGUGUGCCAGCCGGGGCUGGGAGGGAAUCAGCCCGGCUCUUAUCGCGGCGGGGCGGGCAGGGAGCUCAAGGACAGGGAAUGGAAUUGUUUUAACCGAACACAAACCGCGCCCCGGCACCUCCCCUGCGGCUGCAUCCUCACAGCCCCGGGCCACUCCCAGCCUGGGCGGGCUCCUGCUCGCCCCGGGGCCAUCAUCCCCUGUGUGUGGCCAUCAUCCCCUGUGUGUGGCCACCAGCUCCUGUCUGUGGCCAUCAUCCCAUGUCUGUGGUCAUCUCCUGUCCGUGGCCAUCAUCUCCUGUCCGUGGCCAUCAUCCCCUGCCAGUGGCCAUCAUCCCCUGCCCGUGGCCACCCCCCCCCCCCCCCCCCCCCCCCCC